GUUUAGCCCCUCUCAGCUGUCUGUGAGGCUGGGAUUGAGCUCCAUGUGACUCGAGCUGCCUGUGGGGCGUGGCUGGAGGGCCACUGCAUCCCCACCAGGAGUGACCUUGGCCUGCCCCCCACCUCCAGGUAGUUUAUUUCACAGCCACGUUUCCGUACCUGAUGCUUGUCAUUUUGCUGAUCCGAGGUGUCACCCUUCCCGGAGCCUACCAGGGCAUCAUCUAUUACUUGAAGCCAGAUUUGUUCCGCCUCAAGGACCCUCAGGUGUGGAUGGAUGCGGGCACCCAGAUCUUCUUCUCCUUUGCCAUCUGCCAGGGGUGCCUGACAGCCCUGGGCAGCUACAACAAGUACCACAACAACUGCUACAAGGACUGCAUCGCCCUCUGCUUCCUGAAUAGUGCCACCAGCUUUGUGGCUGGGUUUGUUGUCUUCUCCAUCCUGGGCUUCAUGUCCCAAGAGCAAGGGGUGCCCAUUUCUGAAGUGGCCGAGUCAGGUCCCGGGCUGGCCUUCAUCGCCUUCCCCAAGGCUGUGACUAUGAUGCCCUUA
rnacentral:sRNA from 1 species